GGCAAGUUACCCAAGUGGCCAAAGGGAGCUGACUGUAAAUCAGCCUGCAUCGCAUUCACUGGUUCGAAUCCAGUACUUGCCACCA
rnacentral:tRNA from 1 species